CCUACGGGAGGCAGCAGUGGGGAAUAUUGCGCAAUGGGCGAAAGCCUGACGCAGCAACGCCGCGUGGGGGAUGAAGGCCUUCGGGUUGUAAACCUCUUUCAGCAGGGAAGAAGCGAAAGUGACGGUACCUGCAGAAGAAGCACCGGCUAACUACGUGCCAGCAGCCGCGGUAAUACGUAGGGUGCAAGCGUUGUCCGGAUUUAUUGGGCGUAAAGAGCUCGUAGGCGGUUAGUCACGUCGGAUGUGAAAUCCCGGAGCUUAACUCCGGGCCUGCAUUCGAUACGGGCUGACUCGAGUGUUGUAGGGGAGACUGGAGCUCCUGGUGUAGCGGUGAAAUGCGCAGAUAUCAGGAAGAACACCGGUGGCGAAGGCGGGUCUCUGGGCAACUACUGACGCUGAGGAGCGAAAGCGUGGGGAGCAAACAGGAUUAGAUACCCUGGUAGUCCACGCCGUAAACGGUGGGCGCUAGGUGUGGGGAACAUUCCACGUUCUCUGCGCCGCAGCUAACGCAUUAAGCGCCCCGCCUGGGGAGUACGGCCGCAAGGCUAAAACUCAAAGGAAUUGACGG
rnacentral:rRNA from 1 species